ACCCACCUGACUGGACUU
rnacentral:piRNA from 1 species